AAAGGUAUAGCUCAGUGGCAGAGUGCGUACUUAGCAUGUAUGAGGUACUGGGUUCAAUCCCCAGUAUCUCUA
rnacentral:tRNA from 1 species